rnacentral:rRNA from 1 species
GACGAACGCUGGCGGCGUGCUUAACACAUGCAAGUCGAACGGUAAGGCCCUUCGGGGUACACGAGUGGCGAACGGGUGAGUAACACGUGGGUGAUCUGCCCUGCACUUCGGGAUAAGCCUGGGAAACUGGGUCUAAUACCGGAUAGGACUCCGGACUGCAUGGUCUGGGGUGGAAAGCCUUUGCGGUGUGGGAUGGGCCCGCGGCCUAUCAGGUUGUUGGUGGGGUGAUGGCCUACCAAGGCGACGACGGGUAGCGGGCCUGAGAGGGUGACCGGCCACACUGGGACGGAGAUACGGCCCAGAGUUAUACGGGAGGCAGCAGUGGGAAAUAUUGCACAAUGGGCGAGAGCCUGAUGCAGGGACGCCGCGUGAGGGAUGACGGCCUUCGGGUUGUAAACCUCUUUCAGCAUCGACGAAGCGAAAGUGACGGUAGGUGCAGAAGAAGGACCGGCCAACUACGUGCCAGCCGCCGCAGUAA